rnacentral:lncRNA from 1 species
AUUCAAGAUCCGGUUGAUCUUCAGCUUCAAAGUAUCGCCUUGCUCGAAGUUCUUGAGAACCGAGAAGAGCCCGACGGCUGCGCCGGAUACAGAGCCACCUAAAUAAGCGGAACCGGUGUAAAAGGUCAGAUUUUCUCCCCAAGAGCGGCGUUGGUGGAGGGAUUCCUCAGGAAAGAGGAACUCCGGAGAGGUUGGGAGCUUGUACAGGUUGGUUAUGGGAACUUGAAGGUUCAAGUCUUGGUAUGGGUUGUAAAGUUGGGUGUUU